rnacentral:lncRNA from 1 species
ACAUAUCAUAAGAGUAUCCCAUCGAAUAGAAAGAGAGGAUCUUUAAAUCCUUCUUGCUCUUAUUACCGGACGGUUUGGUGAUCAACCUAAUUUAUGCACUUGCUGAUUGAAUUAUCUAAUCUAAUCACAUAUCAUAUACGUAUGAAUUUAGAUCUAAUCUAAAUUAUAUCAGAUCUGAUUAUAAUUGUUGGGUAUAAAUUACCCGCAGCCAAAAUCGAUAGC